rnacentral:rRNA from 1 species
UACGUAGGUGGCAAGCGUUGUCCGGAUUUACUGGGCGUAAAGAGCGCGCAGGCGGUCGUUCAAGUCGCGUGUGAAAGCCCCCCGGCUCAACUGGGGAGGGUCACGCGAUACUGAUCGACUCGAAGGCAGGAGAGGGUAGUGGAAUUCCCGGUGUAGUGGUGAAAUGCGUAGAUAUCGGGAGGAACACCGGUGGCGAAGGCGGCCACCUGGACGGUAACUGACGCUGAGACGCGAAAGCGUGGGGAGCAAACAGG